GGCCGGGUGCCAGAGUGGUCUAAUGGGACGGAUUGCAAAUCCGUUAUCCGUCGGUUCGAAUCCGACCCCGGCCU
rnacentral:tRNA from 1 species